rnacentral:rRNA from 1 species
UACGAAGGGUGCAAGCGUUACUCGGAAUUACUGGGCGUAAAGCGUGCGUAGGUGGUGAGUUAAGUCUGUCGUGAAAGCCUCGGGCUCAACCUGGGAAUGGCGAUGGAUACUGGCUCGCUAGAGUGCGGUAGAGGAGAGUGGAAUUCCCGGUGUAGCAGUGAAAUGCGUAGAGAUCGGGAGGAACAUCAGUUGCGAAGGCGGCUCUCUGGACCAGCACUGACACUGAGGCACGAAAGCGUGGGGAGCAAACAGG